UACGGGGGGGGCAAGCGUUGUUCGGAAUUACUGGGCGUAAAGGGCUCGUAGGCGGCCAACUAAGUCAGACGUGAAAUCCCUCAGCUUAACUGGGGAACUGCGUCUGAUACUGGAUGGCUUGGAUUCGGGAGAGGAAUGCGGAAUUCCAGGUGUAGCGGUGAAAUGCGUAGAUAUCCGGAGGAACACCAGUGGCGAAAGCGGCCGCCUGGACUGCACCUGACGCUGACACGCGAAAGCUAGGGGAGCGAACGGG
rnacentral:rRNA from 1 species